rnacentral:rRNA from 1 species
GUUAAAAAGCUCGUAGUUGGAUUUCGGGAUGGGCCAGUCGGUCCGCCUAACGGUGUGUUUACUGGCUGGUCUGUUCUUCUUCGCAAAGACUGCGUGUGCACUUUACUGUGUGUGCGUAGGAUUUACGACGUUUACUUUGAAAAAAUUAGAGUGUUCAAAGCAGGCAUACCGCUUGAAUACAUGAGCAUGGAAUAAUGGAAUAGGACUUUGGUCUUAUUUUGUUGGUUUCUGAGACCGAAGUAAUGAUUAAGAGGGACAGUUGGGGGCAUUCGUAUUUCGUUGUCAGAGGUGAAAUUCUUGGAUUUACGAAGGACGAACAAUUGCGAAAGCAUUUGCCAAGAAUGUUUUCAUUAAUCAAGAACGAAAGUUAGAGGAUCGAAGACGAUCAGAUACCGUCCUAUGUUCUAACCAUAAACGAUGUCGACUAGGGAUCAGCGAACGUCUAAUGCGACUUCGUUGGCACCUUACGGGAAACCAAAGUUUUUGGAUUCCGGGGGAAGUAUGGUUGCAAAACUGAAACUUAAAGGAAUUGACGGAAGGGCACCAUCAGGAGUGGAGCCUGCGGCUUAAUUUUGACUCAACACGGGGAAAACUCACCA